GGUUAUAUACUAUCUCUUUCAUAAUAUCUUGCUCUAUUUCAAUUAAAUUUUAAAGAAAUAAAUAAUACUCUCUCCAAUUUUUUUUAGUUGUGUCCUUUUCUUAUUUAGACAGUUAUCUUAAUUGUUCAAUUUUCAUUUUAAGACAUAUAUUUAUAGCUUCUACUAUUUUAGGUGGUUUCCUCCCAUUUUUUAAAUUAAAAACAACCAUAGAGAGUAUGAUGAUUCAUAAUAUUAAGAGUCUUCUUAUUCACUUAUCAAAUAGGAGUAACUUUCCCCCAAAUCAAUUAGAGAAAACAGAAUUAGAAACACGACUUAGGGUUUUCGAAACCCACUUUGCUCAAACCCAAUAUAUUCUCAAUCUUCAAAGCUGCUAGAACUCCUUCUUCCUAUUCCAUUAAUUUUCUUUGACCCCAUAUGCAAUUGAAUUUUUGACCAGAACAUUAGUUGAACACCACGAACAGUAGAUGCACACCACGAAAUAUGGAAGAUUUCGACCUUCUAAUAAUUUUCGACCUGAGGAAGAUGAAUUUUCAAAGACCCAAAUUGCUGCUUCUGUUAGAUAAAUGAGCAAGUAUAUGAAACCCUAACUCUUGAACCAAGUUUUGGGUUUCCUGGAAAAUUGAUUUGGGGAAGGUGACCUUCAUGAAAACCCAUGUGUUUAUUUUUUAAUUUUCUAAUUAUUUCUUUUUACAAAAAAAAAAUCUGAAGAUUUAACGAAAGUUUAAAGAAUCUCUUACUAGGUACCUUUUGACAAAAAAAAAUACAAAUUUUUGGUAUUUUUUAACAAAAAAAAUUGUUCUUGGUAGUUUUUCAAAAGUGAUGUUUUUUUUAGUUAUUUUUCAAUAAUUUUUUCUUAUUUUAGAAUGCCUUUUCAGUUUGUAACAAUUUCCUUUUAUGUAAUUGUCUUCAUUAAUUUCCACACAUUUUACUUUUCUUAUAAUAUUUUUUGAACAAUUUAAAUGAUAAUAUCACCAAUCUUUAAUUUUCUCAUGUAUUGUUAGUGUAAGUGUCAAAUUUUAUGACUUUUAACACUUGAUGAACAUGCCUUAGCUUCUACUUUGGAGGAAGACUUGAGAAUGUGUCAUAUGCAAGUGAUUUGGUGUUUGGAACGAUUAAUGAAGUGGUCGACAUGGGGAGUUUGAGGCUCCACUAAAGGUGAAGAAACAUGCCUUUAAUGAGCCAAGGUAUGGAAGGUGUGUUGCUAGAUCAAAGCAACAAGGACCAAAACUGGAGAUCACUCGACCAAUCUGUAAGUGGCUCGAUCAGGUGCUUGUUUGAGCGGAUCCUAACUCGUUUAAACAAAAGUCAAAUCAGUAGGCAUUAACUUGGAAUGAAGGUUGCUCGUUCGAGCACCAUAGUAGCCUGUUCGCAAACCUAGGAUACCUCAUGGGCAGUUUGUAGGUCGUGUAUAGCACUGAAAGGUGAAAUAUCACAAUAGGAAAGCUUGUAGUCGCCUUCAAUCUAUAUCAAGAUUUCUAGUGACGUUCAUCGUCGCAAACUAAUCUUCUCUACGGUAUCAUCGUUCAAUUCGUGAUUCAUUCAAGCAAGAAGUUCGUUGCCAUACACAAAGGAGACACUACAAACAUCAUCUUGUAUUUGUAGUUUAUUUUCCGCAUUAUUAUUUGUAAUAGUUAUUGUCUUUUUUUACCUUCUUACUUUCUUCCUAUGAGUUCAAAGGUAGUCCAUGGCAAUUCCAAGUUUGGAACAUUAGCUUUU